rnacentral:rRNA from 1 species
GACGAACGCUGGCGGCGUGCUUAACACAUGCAAGUGGAGCGACGAACCAGGGCUUGCCCUGGGGCAGAGCCGCGAACGGGUGAGUAACACGUGGGUAACCUGCCCAGAUGACCGGGACAA